GACGAACGCUGGCGGCGUGCUUAACACAUGCAAGUCGAACGGAAAGGCCCUGCUUUUGUGGGGUGCUCGAGUGGCGAACGGGUGAGUAACACGUGAGUAACCUGCCCUUGACUUUGGGAUAACUUCAGGAAACUGGGGCUAAUACCGGAUAGGAGCUCCUGCUGCAUGGUGGGGGUUGGAAAGUUUCGGCGGUUGGGGAUGGACUCGCGGCUUAUCAGCUUGUUGGUGGGGUAGUGGCUUACCAAGGCUUUGACGGGUAGCCGGCCUGAGAGGGUGACCGGCCACAUUGGGACUGAGAUACGGCCCAGACUCCUACGGGAGGCAGCAGGGGGGAAUAUUGCACAAGGGGUGGAAGCCGGAUGCAGCAACGCCGUGGGCGGGAGGACGGCCUUCGGGUUGGAAACCGCUUUCGCUCAUGACGAAGCUUUGUGUGACGGUAGUGGGUAAAGAAGCACCGGCUAACUACGUG
rnacentral:rRNA from 1 species